GAUGAACGCUGGCGGCGUGCUUAACACAUGCAAGUCGAACGGAAAGGCCAGUGCGUGCACUGGUACUCGAGUGGCGAACGGGUGAGAAACACGUGGGUGAUCUGCCCUGCACUUCGGUAAAAGGCUGGGAAACUGGGUCUAAUACCGGAUAGGACAAUGGAUACGAUUCCGAUUAGGGCAGAGUUUUCGGUGUGCGCUGAGAUUUUGGCCUAUCAGUUUGUCGGUGUGGUAUUGGCCUACGACGGCGUAGCGGGGUAGCCAGCCUGCGAGGGAGUAGGGCGAAAGUGGAACUGGGAUAUGAGCCACAGUCCUACGUGAGGCAGCAGUGGGGAGUAUUGAAUAAUGCGCGCAAGCCUGAAGCAGCAUCGACCCGUGCGGGGUGACGGCCUUCGUGUUGUAGUCUCCUAUCGCUAGGGACGAAGCGUGUUUGUGACGGUACCUGAAGAAGAAGCACCGGCUAACUACGUG
rnacentral:rRNA from 1 species